AACGCGAAGAACCUUACCCAGGUUUGACAUCCUUGGAAUUUCUCCGAAAGGAGAGAGUGCCUUCGGGAGCCAAGUGACAGGUGAUGCAUGGCCGUCGUCAGCUCGUGUCGUGAGAUGUUUGGUUAAGUCCAUCAACGAGCGCAACCCUUAUAGUUAGUUGAAUUUUUCUAGCUAGACUGCCCUGGUAACAGGGAGGAGGGAGGGGAUGAUGUCAGGUCCGUAUUUCCCUUACAUCUGGGGCUACAAACACGCUACAAUGGCCGGUACAAAGGGCUGCCAAGUCGCGAGACGGAGCAAAUCCCAUCAAAGCCGGUCCAAGUUCGGAUUGCAGGCUGAAACUCGUCUGCAUGAAGCUGGAAUCGCUAGUAACGGUAGGUCAGCAUUACUACCGUGAAUACGUUCCCGGGCCUUGUACACACCGUGUCGA
rnacentral:rRNA from 1 species